GUAGCGGACCGGUAUAUGUCAAAAUUUGAUUGAUUUAUGACCCCCUUUGACAGGGGGCGGGCCUAUCAAUCAAAAGCUGUACAAUCUGUCUAGGUUUGAGAAUCGUAUAUCAAGGGCUUUAGACAGCGAGUAUCCUGCGCGUGUUUUACGAUGUGUCAAUCAGCUCGUUGUUUUUCCUGUGUGUGUGUUUUAUGUCAAGCCUAUGCUGUCAUGUUUAUUGCUGUCAAAAAAUAAAGUUUAUAGUUUUAGACUGCGUAGUUUCACAAGCGGUCCAGUGCUGUCAGCGAUCUCUCUCUCUCUCUCGCCCCCACUGCGCGUCUCGCCCCAGCGCGUCUCACAGCGUGUGUGUGUUGUUGAAUCUAAAGUUUUGCAACAUCAAAAGUUUAUUUAAACGCAAUCACGAAUCAUAUAUAUAUUUUAGAUGUACCUGGUUAAGCUUAAAGCCGAUAUUUUCUAUCGAUGUAUUAGUUUUCUGAUCAGACACAAAGUUUCUGAUGCUGAUAUUAUAUCAGUGUGUGAUUGUGUGGGGGUCGUGUGAUGUAAUCUUUGAAAGUUUAUGACCGAACCUUUAUUGGGGAGCGACAAGAGAUCUCCGGGAUCAGUUUGGAUGGAGCAGAGCUGGUAUACUCAAGUCUAUUGGUACGUAUGUGUUUCGCUGUGUUCGUUCCAGAAUUUUGUCUGAUUAUUUAAAAAACUAAAAAUUCGAUCUCUGGUGUUGCAGCGAAAUUGUCUAAACAGUUAUUAACUAUUCCUGGUAAAUCGCGGAGAAGAGUGGAAUGAACAAAAAAGUCAGACCGAGACUAGAAACCUCCCGCAGCGUAACAAGGAAAUCUUGGAACAAAGAGACGCCGAGUGACUCGUGCCGACCGUUUGGAUAUCGACGGCAAAGUUUGGAUGUCGUUGCAAGAUCUAGAGCGGAUCUCCACGGCUAGGAUACAGACCACAACACAUUGGACGUAUCUUUAAAAAAGAGAAAAAUCAGAGACUUUUUGGAUUUGUCUGGGUCAUUUUAAACAUUUUGUGACAUAUUGGAUUUAAAACAUUUCGGAUACUGGAUACCUGUGUUUGAUUUGUCAACAGAGCUGGUCACUUUUUAAAAUCACAGGGGUAAGUGACUAAUUAUAAAUUGUUUUGCUGUUGUUUUAAACUUAUGUUCUAAAUACCUAUUUGUUUUAUUUUUCAUCGUUUAUAUAAUCCGUUUUUAUACUCAUUUUGGCUUGAGGUUUUUCAUUGUUUUAAAUAUAUUGUUUUACUGUGGUUUUAAACUUGUGUUCUUAAUACAUUGUUUUAUUUUUCAUCGUUUAUAUAAUCCGUUUUUAUACUCAUUUUGGCUUAGAGUUUUUCAUUGUUUUAAAUAUAUUGUUUGUUUUUGAUAUUGUAUACUCGUUAUAUUUUUUGGUAUAGUUUUAUUGUGUUUACGUUGUUUGAUUAUUUGAAUAUUUUGGGUUUUCACUGUGAUUCCGAAUAUUGUGGUAAAUGGCCCAAAAACGUUAUUCCGACUCUGGCUGUGACCAGGCGAAUAAAAUUAUAAGGCGCAAUGAAUCCACGUUUGAUAUAGUUGAUUAUGAAUUGGGAAUGCAAAUACUGAUAGAAACUGUCAGAGCUAUGAAUGGAAAUCAAAGUAAUGUAGACGGAUUCGCAGACUUGAUAAGUAUGGUCGAUCCCCGUUCACAGCCCCCUCCAGAGCCGAGUAUGGUCUUAGAUCCUAAUGUUUUAAAUACGCAUCAAGUUUUUGAGGUUCCAGAAGCUGGAUUUAUAAAUCAGCAGAUUGAACCUGGGGUUUCAGAUACUGCUUUUAUCAAUAAUCAAAUUGAACCACAGGUUCCAGGCUCUGAUCUAAACGAUCAGCAGGUUCUCGAUGGGGCAGGCGAGAAUGUAAAUGUUCAACAGGUUGGUGAGGGGUCGGACGACCCCCAUCAUAAUUCUGAAAUGGCUGAUAUGGGUCUAACCCCCGACGAUGUUGAGAGGCUUGUGAGAGACGGAGGUGAAUUUAAUGGCUACACCAUCGUUCCUCGUACAAGAUUUAACAGUGUGGAAAUACUUAGGAGUUUAAA